AUUGAACGCUGGCGGCAGGCCUAACACAUGCAAGUCGAACGAGUGGCGGACGGGUGAGUAAUGUCUGGGAAACUGCCUGCUGGAGGGGGAUAACUACUGGAAACGGUAGCUAAUACCGCAUACCAUCGGAUGUUCCCAGAUGGGAUUAGCUAGUAGGUGGGGUAGAGGCUCACCUAGGCGACGAUCCCUAGCUGGUCUGAGAGGAUGACAAGCCACACGGGAACUUAGACACGGUCCAGACGCCUACGGUAGGCAGCAGUGGGGAAGAGUGCACAAUUGGAGCAAGCGUGAUGGAGCCAUGCCGCGUGUAUGAAGAAGGCCUUCGGGCUGUAAAGUACUUUCAGCGGGUAGGCGGUACCCGCAGAAGAAGCACCGGCUAACUCCGUGCCAGCAGCCGCGGUAAUAC
rnacentral:rRNA from 1 species